CAAACAGGAUUAGAUACCCUGGUAGUCCACGCCCUAAACGAUGAGUACUAAGUGUAGCCAGAAGGCUGUGCUGAAGUUAACGCAUUAAGUACUCCGCCUGAGUAGUACGUACGCAAGUAUGAAACUUAAAGGAAUUGACGGGAUCCCGCACAAGCGGUGGAGCAUGUUGUUUAAUUCGACGAUACGCGAAGAACCUUACCAGGUCUUGACAUACUCGGCAAAUCUAUAGAGAUAUAGAGGAGGUUAACCGGGAUACAGGUGGUGCAUGGUUGUCGUCAGCUCGUGUCGUGAGAUGUUAGGUUAAGUCCUGCAACGAGCGCAACCCUUAUUGCUAGUUACCAUCAUUAAGUUGGGGACUCUAGCGAGACUGCCGGUGAUAAACCGGAGGAAGGCGGGGAUGACGUCAAAUCAUCAUGCCCUUUAUGACCUGGGCUACAAACGUGCUACAAUGGCUGACACAAAGAGAAGCGAGCUCGCGAGAGUAAGCAAACCUCAGAAAAGCAGUCUCAGUUCGGAUUGAAGUCUGCAACUCGACUUCAUGAAGUUGGAAUCGCUAGUAAUCGCGAAGCAGAGUGUCGCGGUGAAUACGUUCCCGGGAUUUGUACACACCGCCCGUCAAACCAUGAGAGUUUGUAAUACCCGAAGCCGGUGGCCGAACCGCAAGGAAGGAGCCGUCUAAGGUAGGACAGAUGAUUGGGGUUAAGUCGUAACAAGGUAUCCCUACGAGAACGUGGGGAUG
rnacentral:rRNA from 1 species